rnacentral:rRNA from 1 species
CCUACGGGUGGCUGCAGUGGGGCAUAUUGGACAAUGGGGGCAACCCUGAUCCAGCCAUGCCGCGUGUGUGAAGAAGGCCCUCGGGUUGUAAAGCACUUUCAGUGAGGAAGAACGCCUGGUGGUUAAUACCCAUCAGGAAAGACAUCACUCACAGAAGAAGCACCGGCUAACUCCGUGCCAGCAGCCGCGGUAAUACGGAGGGUGCGAGCGUUAAUCGGAAUUACUGGGCGUAAAGCGCGCGUAGGUGGCUUGAUAAGCCGGUUGUGAAAGCCCCGGGCUCAACCUGGGAACGGCAUCCGGAACUGUCAAGCUAGAGUGCAGGAGAGGAAGGUAGAAUUCCCGGUGUAGCGGUGAAAUGCGUAGAGAUCGGGAGGAAUACCAGUGGCGAAGGCGGCCUUCUGGACUGACACUGACACUGAGGUGCGAAAGCGUGGGUAGCAAACAGGAUUAGAUACCCUGGUAGUC